GAAGCCUGUGGCCAUUUGGUUACUAGGCAAUGUGGUGUUUAGGUCGUUCCGCAGAGACACUGCUCCUCUCUAAGUCCAUCAAUGAGUACGGUUGUACUGACAUGGCCCACGGAGGGUGAAAGGCCCGUAAGAGAGGAGUUUUGGUGUGACAGUGUCUCUCUGGAUUGACCUUGGAGUCGGGUUGUUUGGGAAUGCAGCCCUAAGCGGGUGGUAAACUCCAUCCAAGGCUAAAUACAAGCACGAGUCCGAUAGCGAACAAGUACCGUGAGGGAAAGUUGAAAAGUACUUUGAAGAGAGAGUAAACAGUGCGUGAAACCGCUUAGAGGUAAACGGGUGGAGUUGAACUGCAAUCUUUGAGAAUUCAGCUGGGGAAUUUUGCUUGAGCUUGGUCAAUUGGGCAGGGCCUCGGGGUAUGCUUAGCUGCAUGUUCUGAUCUUCGGGUCGGAAUGCGCGUUGCUCUUAUCAAGGGCUGCGCGCCUCGGGUGUCCGGCUGGCUCAUUCGCCAGUGCACUUUCUCAGAGUGAUCACCACGACCGGCGCUGCUGCUUGGCUGUUUUAGUUAAACCGCACAUUCAUCGUCCUUGUGGCGUUGGGUGGACGACACGGCAGGUAACUGGGGGCUUGCUUCGGCUUGCUUCUCGGUGUAUGCUGGCUCUAACGGUUCUGUGCAGUGUGUCGGAGACGGCGGCUUGUGGUGUGUGCAUGCGUGCCUAUCUGUUGGCAUAUUCUGGUUUGGUGGCUGUGUGCUUGUUCAAGCAGGCCCAGUUAUAGCCGGGGUGUGUCAGUGGGUGGUUGCGUGUGUGUCACUUUUCAGGGCCUACAGUCUGUGGUGUUGUGGUAGACUAUCCACCUGACCCGUCUUGAAACACGGACCAAGGAGAGUAACAUGUGCGCGAGUCAUUGGGCGUAACGAAACCCACAGGCGCAGUGAAAGUAAAGGUCUGGCUUGUCCAGUCUAAGGUGAGAUCCUGUCGUUGUUCAUGCGUGGGACCACCAAGCUUGGAGCGAUAGGCGCAUCACCGGCCCGUCCCAUGACGUGGACAUAGUCUUCGGAUUGUGCGCCGUCGGGGCGGGGC
rnacentral:rRNA from 1 species